GGUCUUUAGAGAUCAGAGUAGAGGGGGAGAUUCACCUCCCUCGACCUGCUGGCCACACUUCUUUUGAUGCAGCCCAGGAUACUAUUGGCUUUCUGGGCUGUGAGUGCACAUUGCUUGUGUCCAGCUUUUCAUCCACCAGGACCCCCAAGUCCUUCUCCACAGGGCUGCUCUCAAUCCAUUCAUCUCCCAGCCUGCAUUGAUAGUGGGGGUUGCCCUGACUCAGGUACAGGACCUUACACUUGGCCUUGUAGAACUUCAUGAAUUUCACAUAGGCCCACUCCUCAAGCCUGUCACAGU